rnacentral:rRNA from 1 species
ACGCUCGACACCUACGGAAGGCAGCAGUGGGGAAUAUUGCACAAUGGGGGAAACCCUGAUGCAGCGACGCCGCGUGAGCGAAGAAGUAUUUCGGUAUGUAAAGCUCUAUCAGCAGGGAAGAAAGUGACGGUACCUGACUAAGAAGCACCGGCUAAAUACGUGUCAGCAGCCGCGGUAAUCUGAGCGGGCUGGCAAGGC